rfam:Flavobacterium hibernum strain DSM 12611 Contig21, whole genome shotgun sequence.
UCUUAGCCCUGAUAGAAGUGGAAAUCCUUUUGUGCCGGCGUUCGGCACAAAAGAUUGAAACGGAUAGCAGGAAAUAGC